GGCGUGGUAGCAAAAUGGUUAUGCAGCUGCCUGCAGAGCAGCUAUAUGUGGGUUCGACUCCCAUCCACGCCU
rnacentral:tRNA from 3 species